ACAACAGACGGAAACGACUGCUAAUACCGAAUACGUUCCUUAGGUCGCAUGACCCAAGGAAGAAAGGGUGGCCUCUACUUGUAAGCUAUCGCCUGAAGAGGGGUUUGCGUCUGAUUAGGUAGUUGGUGAGGUAACGGCCCACCAAGCCGACGAUCAGUAGCCGGUCUGAGAGGAUGAACGGCCACACUGGAACUGAGACACGGUCCAGACUCCUACGGGAGGCAGCAGUGGGGAAUCUUCCGCAAUGGGCGAAAGCCUGACGGAGCAACGCCGCGUGAGUGAUGACGGCCUUCGGGUUGUAAAGCUCUGUGAUCGGGGACGAAUGGUCAGCAGACGAAUACUCUGCUGAAGUGACGGUACCCGAAUAGCAAGCCACGGCUAACUACGUGCCAGCAGCCGCGGUA
rnacentral:rRNA from 1 species